ensembl:lncRNA
CUCCGGGACCCCGCGCCCGCCCGCCCCGCAGUGCCGGGGGAGCAGCGCCGGCAGCGGAGCCGCUCUCGCUCGCCCCGGGAGGAUGCCUCAGCACUUUGUGCGUUCCGCGCUUCCAGCAGAAGGGAAGCUAAUUCCUCCGCUGAGGGCCUCAAUCAGGCAUUUAUUUGACACUCAUGAUGCAUGAACGGCUAAACGCUCGUCCUGAGCGGGGGAUCAGCCGCUGCUUUAUAGCCCGCGAGUUUUUUGAUGCAGGGAGUGCGUGCCGCCACAUAGGAUUCGGUGGGAACGCGUGUGAUGCAGCCGGAGCGGGACGCGGCCGUCCGCUUCAUCCCCCCGCUAAAAAACAAAAGAUAAAGGUGUUCAUUAAAUCAUAUCGAAUCGAAUUAAACUCUAUCGCCGGGGCCUUCCAGCAGAACGGGAGCCUGAAAAGCAGGGGACGGAGGAUGAAUCUCAACUCGGCUCCCGACGACGGAACGGGGAUCGGAACGCGUUACGGAUAAAUCGGAGCGCCGCCGUAGGUCACGACGCGACGAUAGGACGGUGCGGGAAUCUCGGGACGGGCAGAGGGCCGGCGGCUGCCCGCAGGCCGCCCAUUGGGAAGAUCCGUGCUGGCUCUCAGGGGAUUCAAAUCGGCCCUUAAUGCGGGGUAGCUCCUAACGUGGGCGCAGCUGAGCAGGGCACGGCGAUGGAGCAGCUUACGCUUAAUGCUGCUGCAGACCUCAGCCUUAAGGAACAGGUAGGCACGGCUUAGCUCAGCAUCGUUUCAAAUGCCAGGUUCAAAACAUGUUCAACUCCACCGAGUCGUGGGCAGCGGGGCUCUCCUUUGUCAGAGAUUCGUACUGAAGACAAACAUUGGUGGCAAUUGUGUCUAAAAAUACCUCCGAACCUGCUUCUUGGGGGCGAGCGCAGACGCCAGGCGCCUGACCAUGGCCGUAAAUUGCUGUCGGUGACACAGCUCGGGCGUAUUUAGGGGACCCAGCUUUGCCCUUUCCUUGACAGGACAGCGGCUCGCCCUGGGGUUCGUCUGCUCGUGUCACUGUCAUCUGUCAUGACACACUCGUGCGGGACCCAGCUGCUUACGCUGGGAAAGAAGAAAUGUGAAAAUAAUUGGUUGAUGCUUAUGUGGCUCCUUAGGCUACACCUGCACAGCCCUUUUCGGGGCUCUCUAUUUGAAGAAUCAUUAACCUUACAUAUACAUACUGCCCUGUAUCUUAGAUAAUGUGCCCUUCUGCCGUUAACCUUUACAUAAUGCAAGUGGGAAAAAAAAGCCUCAUCACUACUGAGCGCGUCCGAGUGCAGCCUGGCUGCAGUUUAACGAUGAUACUGAAAGCGUUGUCAUGUUUUGGUAUACUCCUUUCUGAGCCUGCUGGAAACCUUGGAGAAGUGACAAACGGGACUCAGAAGCAUGCAAGAAAAGUUACUUCUGGGCAAAACAUCAUCCAUCAGGAUACCACUUACAGUGUAUUUUGGUAGAAGUCCCCAAAUUACAGUUCUUCAAAAUUAAAAUAAAGAUCACGCAUAAUAUGGGCAGCUUGUUUCUGGAUUUCACAGAGCUCCCAUCUUUUGCUGCAAGCUGCUUCUAAUGUUGCAAUGAAAUCCAUAUUCUGCUGCUUCUACUUCUGUUUUGCACCAGGUUUCUUGUUUUUAAACAUAUUGUGUUCGAUGGGGAGUGUGACUUGACUGUCAAAUGGCAAUGCUGUAUAUGCAACCUUUACAACUGCCAGCCUGAAUGAUUCCAUGGGUGAAAUCACAUUGGUCAGGUGGUGUUGGCAUGGUUCAUGCAGUGGGUGCAUAUUGCAUGG